rnacentral:lncRNA from 10 species
ACUGGGCACACAUAAUCAUUAUGACAAAGCAUUUAUUGAGUGCUUCUUAUGUUCCAGGGGCCAAGCACUUGUAUCAUGAUCGCAGCCCACGAGGUGGGACGACAGAGCCAGACUGCUGUGUGCCCCCGUGUUCCAUUCUUUCUGCCUUUUCCUGUCCAUAUUGUAAAUUUUGGAUUUCUUUUCCUUUUUCCCUCCCAUCACUGUUAACCAACAGAAUCCCAGCGCUUAGCCUUGAAAACUCCAGGCCAUCCUAGCUGUUGGCAAAAGAGCUCUGAGCAAGAUCAGAAGAAAGAAACAUUCUCCCUGACAACUUCAGAGAGGCCAACAUAAACUGUCCAAAACUGAGAGAAAAGAGUGAGGGACUCAAGAAGAUUCUGAAACCCCAACAGAGACCUGGCUUGUCCGAUGCUGAAGCAACAGCGUCUCCUCGGGGCCACCUGUUCCCGAGGGUUGAUGUGGCCGCACCAAGCAUGACAAAGGAAACGUUUCCUUCGGAAGCUUAGAUGGGUUCUUCGACCUCCAGAGAGAAUUAAAGGAGCAAAGCCAUCAAGUCUAGCAAAUCCAGUGAAGGCUAGGUUUUGAAUUCAAAUGACCACAGGAUGCUACGUGACUCUAAGAGAUGCCAAAGGCAUCUAAGGAAAAAAAAAUUAAGAUCAAGCCAAAACUCCCAAUGCUUUGAUGUGACAACCCUUUAAGAAAAAUUUUCCAGACUCGGGACAAUGCUUGGACAGAGUAGAUGCUCAAUAAAUACAUAUCGAUGAGGAAAUAGGAGAAAAUAAAAGCACACUCCUACAGCCACCCGCUCAUAAGCUCCAGUCUGUCCCUUACACACACACUGCACAGUUUUAAAAUUUUCCAUAUUCAGAGGAUGAAUGGUUUUCUACUUGGAAAAGGUGCCAGAUAAGAGGAAAAAUUUUAAUUAUUCAGUAAAAUUAUGAAAACUUCCCUAAAAGGUAAAUAAGCUAUUUCAAAGAGAGUAGAAUUAAAUGUAUAGGAGUGAUCGUGUAAAAACAAAUGGUUAAUAAAAGUGUAAACAUAUUUCUCAUUUCUAUUAUUAAUAUAAACACCUUAUCUCUCUGAAAUUAUCCUGGAAAAAAGGAAAGAAAAUUAAUUAACUUUGGCUUAAAGACCUUAAUGUCCCUGCUGAGUUAUUAGUUAAGACAAAGUUAGGAAAAUUGACAUUAGACAAGAAAUAGUAAUCAUAAAAAGGUCAAAGACACUUUGGGAGGCCAAGGUGGGAGCAUUGCUUGAGGCCAGGAGUUUGAGACCAACCUGGGCAACAAAGUGAGACUCCAUCUCUACAAAAAGUAGAAAAAUU